rnacentral:rRNA from 1 species
GACGAACGCUGGCGGCGUGCUUAACACAUGCAAGUCGAACGGAAAGGCCCUGCUUUUGUGGGGUGCUCGAGUGGCGAACGGGUGAGUAACACGUGAGUAACCUGCCCUUGACUUUGGGAUAACUUCAGGAAACUGGGGCUAAUACCGGAUAGGAGCUCCUGCUGCAUGGUGGGGGUUGGAAAGUUUCGGCGGUUGGGGAUGGACUCGCGGCUUAUCAGCUUGUUGGUGGGGUAGUGGCUUACCAAGGCUUUGACGGGUAGCCGGCCUGAGAGGGUGACCGGCCACAUGGGGACUGAGAUACGGCCCAGACUCCUACGGGAGGCAGCAGUGGGGAAUAUUGCACAAUGGGCGGAAGCCUGAUGCAGCAACGCCGCGUGCGGGAUGACGGCCUUCGGGUUGUAAACCGCUUUCGCCUGUGACGAAGCGUGAGUGACGGUAAUGGGUAAAGAAGCACCGGAUAACUACGU